AAAAAAAAAAAAAAGAUAUCGUGCACCCCUAUUUUUUUUAUCAAUUUCUUUCUGUAAGCCAGAUUCUUUGGUGCCAGCUAUGCGGUACAUUUCCACUUGAGCUGUGCCAAGGUGACCAGAAUGAAGGCUCACAUUCCCAGUGAGCCAAACACCAAGUUCUUGGAAUUCGAACUGGGGGCAGUGUUGCAUCUUCUCAAGUGUGGCCUUGGCGGUCAAGCUUGAUUUAAAAAGCUCCACGAAUGCUGCCAAGGUCAUGACACUCACACCUCUUUACAGGCUGGAUACAUUCACAGGGGGCUCUACAUUGUCUAACUGCCACAGAUUCCUCUAUUCACAAAACAAUGUUCUGGACAAGACUGAAACAGACUGCAAUCUGGAAAUGAACAGGGGCCAUGCGUUUGCCAAUGGGACCAGAACUCUGCUGAUGGAGGGGAAAUUUCUACAUCAGACUGACACACAUAACACAGUAUGGGACCAAGGCUACACUUACUCGGCUGCAUCUUAAAGUCGCAGCACUUUUGAGAGUGCCUCUUGAGUGCUGAGUCAAGAGGGUCAAGGGACAAAAGUCAUGUGGCCGAUGAUGGAUGGCUGACACGUGCUUUUAAGUCACUGUAGCUCCUUACGAUGUAUAUUUACUUCUUUUCUACUAUUCUACAGCAGCACACUCCCCUUAACUCACUGUUACAGAUCGGAGCUGACGUUCUCAUUCAGCAGUUCUGUAGUUUCACAUUCCGCACAUGGCUUUUCUGGAUAAAAGAGUAUUUUUAGCACUGUUACUGCGCAAUAAAAACCUGAAGAUAUGUAGCGAUUUACUUUCAGAGAAGUACUAAGAGAAGCAUUUAGAGAACCACAAUGCUGAAAACAAUUCCAUUGAAAUCAAGCAGUACUAAAGUAAAAAUGCAUCUUCAGAAGAGA